GGCCGACUGAUUCUCAUCCAACCAUUCAAGCGCCUCCUUUGUUGCCGACUCAAUCUUCUCCUUCUCAUCGCUCUCAAGCUUAUCCGCCAAUUUAUCCUUAUCACCAAUUUGAUUCUUCAUGUUGUAGACAUAAGUCUCAAGGGCAUUUCUGGCAUCAAUCUUUUCCUUCACCUUUUUGUCUUCUUCAGCAAACUCCUCUGCCUCCCUAACCAUUCGUUCAAUCUCCUCCUGACUCAAUCUCCCCUUCUCAUUUGUGAUUGUUAUCUUCUCUGAUUUACCAGAAGCCUUGUCCUCCGCCUUCACGUUCAAUAUACCAUUCG
rnacentral:lncRNA from 1 species